rnacentral:rRNA from 1 species
CAGUAGCCGCGGGAAUACGGAGGGGGCUAGCGUUGUUCGGAAUUACUGGGCGUAAAGCGCACGUAGGCGGCUUGGUAAGUUAGAGGUGAAAGCCCAGGGCUCAACCCUGGAAUUGCCUUUAAGACUGCCGAGCUAGUAGGUGAGAGAGGUGAGUGGAAUUCCGAGUGUAGAGGUGAAAUUCGUAGAUAUUCGGAAGAACACCAGUGGCGAAGGCGGCUCACUGGCUCAUUCUAGACGCUGAGGUGCGAAAGCGUGGGGAGCAAACAGGAUUAGAUACCCCCGUAGUCCCUGUCUCUUAUAU